CAAAUUGGGCUUCGAUCAUUUAUUGCUCAACCGAUCAACUUCUGGGUCUUUCACUUGGCUCAAAAAAUAUGUCCAUAGCAAUGUGAGAUCCAAUCCUUGAGAAAUAAGAAAAAAAAGGUUGGCAUCGUAGAAGGCCUCGGUGCAGUCUUACGGUGGUAGAUUAACUUUGUUAAACUCCACUUUAGCCAAUCUACCACUACUCAAGGCGCCUGUUGUAGUGUGCAAUAAGCUUUGCCUGCAGGAAUCCUGGACCUGCGGGUGUUGAAAGUCUACUUGACAAUGCACAAGGUGUGAUGCUUUCCUCUUUAUCCAAGUCUACUUGGACUGGCUAAUGCUAAUCUUACAAUACUGGAGGAGAGAGAAGGGGAUGAUAGGAUUUAAAUGUGUCAUUUAGAUGUCAGACAAUAGCUUUAACAAAUGUUUCAAAUAAUUCUUGGCUAAUGGUGACCUGGGUUAUGAUAGCUUUUUUGAUUUUAUCACCUAACCUGAUUGUUGACAUGGUUGGGCUGUUCUUAUGGGUGGUGUUGAUGUUUUUGUUGGUUUGCAGUCUAGUCGCAUGGCUUUGAUCCGUAACUGUAGCUGAUGGUUCUGCCAUCUUGUCUACUGCUUGAUCAUGAUUCAAUAAUUGAAGAGUUUAUAAUGCUUUAAUAA